GGUAGCAUGGCAUAGUUGUUUGAGUGUUGGAGUAUGACGUUGGAGACCAGGGUUCAAUUCCCUGUUCAGCCA